rnacentral:misc_RNA from 1 species
AUGAAGAACGUAGUGAAAUGCGAUAAGUAAUGUGAAUUGCAGAAUUCAGUGAAUCAUCGAAUCUUUGAACGCACAUUGCGCCCGCUAGUAUUCUGGCGGGCAUGCCUGUCCGAGCGUCAUUUCAACCCUCAAGCCCCCGGGCUUGGUGUUGGGGAUCGGCGAGCCUCCGCGCCCGCCGUCCCCUAAAUCUAGUGGCGGUCUCGCUGUAGCUUCCUCUGCGUAGUAGCACACCUCGCACUGGGAAACAGCGCGGCCACGCCGUUAAACCCCCAACUUCUGAACGUUUGACCUCGGAUCAGGUAGGAAUACCCGCUGAACUUAAGCAUAUCAAUAAGCGGAGGA